UACAGAGGGGGCAAGCGUUGUUCGGAAUUACUGGGCGUAAAGGGCGCGUAGGCGGCGUGUCAAGUCAGGCGUGAAAGCCCCGGGCUCGACCUGGGAACCGCGCUUGAGACUGGCAUGCUCGAGUUCGGGAGAGGAUGGUGGAAUUCCCAGUGUAGAGGUGAAAUUCGUAGAUAUUUGGGAAGAACACCGGAUGGCGAAGGCAGCCAUCUGGGACCGACACUGACGCUGAGGCGCGAAAGCGUGGGGGAGCAAACAGGA
rnacentral:rRNA from 1 species